rnacentral:rRNA from 1 species
AUGUUGGGUUAAGUCCCGCAACGAGCGCAACCCUCAUUUUUAGUUGCCUUAUGGAACUCUAGAAAGACUGCCGGUUAUAAACCGGAGGAAGCGGGGAUGACGUCAAGUCAGCAUGCCCCUUACACCCUGGGCUACACACGUGCUACAAUGGGCGAGACAAUGAGAUGCAAAUCUGCGAAGACUAGCUAAUCUCACAAAGCUUGUCGUAGUCCGGAUUGGAGUCUGCAACUCGACUCCAUGAAGUCGGAAUCGCUAGUAAUCGUGAAUCAGAAUGUCACGGUGAAUACGUUCCCGGGCCUU